rnacentral:piRNA from 1 species
UGAGAUGCCUAUUAACAUAACAAAGCGGAAU